rnacentral:rRNA from 1 species
AUUGAACGCUGGCGGCAGGCCUAACACAUGCAAGUCGAGCGGAUGAAGGGAGCUUGCUCCUGGAUUCAGCGGCGGACGGGUGAGUAAUGCCUAGGAAUCUGCCUGGUAGUGGGGGAUAACGUCCGGAAACGGGCGCUAAUACCGCAUACGUCCUGAGGGAGAAAGUGGGGGAUCUUCGGACCUCACGCUAUCAGAUGAGCCUAGGUCGGAUUAGCUAGUUGGUGGGGUAAAGGCCUACCAAGGCGACGAUCCGUAACUGGUCUGAGAGGAUGAUCAGUCACACUGGAAGUGAGACACGGUCCAGACUCCUACAGGAGGCAGCAGUGGGGAAUAUUGGACGAUGGGGGAAAGCGUGAUCCAGCCAUGCCGCGUGUGUGAAGAAGGUCUUCGGAUUGGAAAGCACUUUAAGUUGGGAGGAAGGGCAGUAAGUUAAUACCUGGCUAUUUUGACGUUACCAACAGAAUAAGCACCGGCUAACUUCGUG